UGUGUGUGUGUGUGUGUGUGUAUGCAUGCAUGUAUGCUUUUUGUUAUUUUUUGUAUAUUUUCUCUUACUGAUUUUUCUUUAGUUUUUCUAAUUUUAUUUUUACUUUUUAUUUUGUUGUUUUUCGGGUGUGGAGGUGUGUGGGGUGUAUGUGUGUGUGUUUUAAGAGAGAGAGGGAGGGAGAACAUGAAGUUGUCUGGGUAGGGAAUUGGAGAGGACCUGAGGAGACUUGGAGUAGAGGAAAGAAUAUCAAAUAUAUUAUAUGAAUUUUCUUCAAUAAAAAGUUUUUAAAAGAUUCAGAAUUUUAUUAAAUGGAAGAUAUUAAUGCACAUAGUAAAUAUGUACUCAAGAUUUAUUACUAUUUUGCUUAUACUCAAAGGAAGAGUACAUAAAAUGUUUUGCAUUGUGACUGUAGAAGUCUCAUAUAUUAGGUAAAAAUCAAGCCUCUUAUCCAAAUUCAACUUAAUUUUGACAGUAAUUGGUUCAAUCUGGUGACUGCAGUAUCUUAGCUUGUUGUCGUGCUUACAAGAUCCUUCUCAGCUACAUUAGUUUUACUUAAUUGAUGACAUCAGAGACAAAUCCUGACACUUUCAAGAUCAUCUUGAUCAGACUUCUGCCAAUGGUGGCCUCCCGACUUGUUUCGAAUGGAAGCCUAGAAACCUGGGGCUUGGCUGGCUUUUUGUCAGUACUCACCCUUGUUCUGUGUGCUCAAGGACCCAGAAGCAGCAUGGUUGAAUGUGCUUCUGGGCAUCUUAGAAUCUGUCAACUGGUAAUUUGAGUCCCUCACAGUGUGAAUCUCUUCCUACUUGCUAUGUUCCCUGAAUGUCCUGCAUAGGGCCCAGAUGUGACAUAGAACAGAGUCCAGAGCACACUGGAACUAGACCUAUGUAAGUGUUGUGAGUGACUUACUCUGUACCUCCUUGGUGGCUGACAGUGAUGUCUACAUGGCAAAGGAAGUUCAGUCGAUUUGAUUUCCCGUAGAGUAUUGUCAUGUGCUCUUAUUCAGUUGCUGAGUUUUGUUUUUGUUUUGUUUUGUUUUGUUUUUUUCAUUUCAUCUUUGUUUUGUUUUUAUUUGAUUUUAGUGGAGUGGAUUUUUUUCUACCUUUUUUUUUUUUGAGAGUCUUAUUGUAUAAGCUGGUUUGCCUAGGAAUCACUAUGUAGAUCUGGUGGAUGUAGACAUCCACCUGCCCCUGCCUCUUAGCUCUGUGAUUAACCACCUGGCUUACUGUUGCUUUUAUAUCUUACUGUGGAAGGCUUUCAGUU
rnacentral:lncRNA from 1 species